rnacentral:rRNA from 1 species
AGAGUUUGAUCAUGGCUCAGGAUGAACGCUAGCUACAGGCUUAACACAUGCAAGUCGAGGGGCAGCAUGUUGGUUGCUUGCAACCAAUGAUGGCGACCGGCGCACGGGUGAGUAACGCGUAUCCAACCUACCCUUGUCCAUCGGAUAACCCGUCGAAAGGCGGCCUAACACGAUAUGCGGUUCACAGCAGGCAUCUAAGGUGAAACGAAAUGUGAAGGAGAAGGAUGGGGAUGCGUCUGAUUAGCUUGUUGGCGGGUAACGCCACAAGGCUACGAUCAGUAGGGGUUCUGAGAGGAAGGUCCCCACAUUGGAACUGAGACACGGUCCAAACUCAUACGGGAGCA